rnacentral:lncRNA from 1 species
AACUGACUAUAUAUGCAAGUCGAAUUCUCACGCGACACCUUUUCGCGGAAGAGAGGAGAGGGAAAUGACGCCUCGCGCAUGCGCCGCUCUCAACAGACCCCCUCCUUUUUCGGUUGAGGAGCUCGGUUGCUUAGCAACGCUCUGCGUGCCGCUUGUCCGACGAGCGGGCCUGUCGAGGAGUUUCGAAGGCGGCUUGAGGGGGCGAAGGCGACCCGAGCCUUCCCUCGAGGGGGCCGUUAGCCUCCGAGGCACCGACACACUGUGUUUGAACUGAUCUACUCCCUGGCCAGAGAUUAAAAGACAAGACGGUCCCUGCCUGCAGGCUUACAGUCUUAUAUAGUCAGGAUACAGGAGGAAGACAGAAGGGGAUGGGAAAAGGAAAGGGUCAGCGUAGCAAGAUCCUUGUCUGGCUCAAACACACACACCCAGCCUGCUGAGGUGCAGGUAGAUAGCUUUGCCUUGCCUCCUAAUCCAUAAACCAGAAGCCAGAAUGUAUUUCCUUUGAGUUUUGCAAUUCCAAAGCAAUGAGGAUGCCGCUUUCAAGUAGGUUACAGUGCCUUUUUUCACCUCUUAUUUUCAUCUUCUGACAGCCCUUCAAUGAAGUUUUGAUUGCGGUAUAAUGACUAGAAGUCACUCACUGCACUUCAAGACUGAGUGGAAAUGCAGUCUCUCCAGUUCUCCAGUUCUCUGACUGCUAUGCCACAGUGAUCGCUGUAUUCUUUUUAGUUUGUUUGAUAUGUUAUUAUACACAAUACCUGGCAAAUGUUCUAAAAAUUUAACUACAAACAAUAUAAUUAGCAUAUAGUAUGACAAUAGCGUUUGUUAAGAACAAUCGAUAGUACCAUAGUGAAACAAUGAAAGAAGGAAAGGCACUGGGUUAAGAAAUAUUUAAUGUUAUAUAUUUUUUAAAAAAACUUCUACUGAAAUUGAAUAUAUUUACAAAUGACACUUAACAAAAUAAGAGGAGUAUGAGUACCUGCACUGAGAGACUCAUUUUCCAGUGCUCUAGAAAGGAGCCAAUGGAGAGAGGGGGGUGAAAGAUGACAAAUUAACAGUACACAUUCAUUUGGGUUGUGCACAUUUAAGGUUUAUCUCAGUAGGAGAAACAAGAUGAAAGGGUUUCAUGCAAAGGAAAGAGAUGGGCAGAUAGGCAUUUUGAGUCACUGAUCUUAAAACUGAUGGAUCCGAAUCGAGGAAAUAGAUGGUGCCCUAUUCUCAUGUCACUUCCAUCAACAACACCUGCAUUGUCUUGUUUUCUUAGACAUUGUCUUUAUUAAGCUAAAUAAAACUAAGAAAAAAAGAAUAUUGAUUGCA